CUGAGAUCUAGAAUGUGUUGGGAGAGAACUGAGAUCUAGAAUGUGUUGGGAGAUAACUGAGAUCUAGAAUGUGUUGGGAGAGAACUAAGAUCUAGAAUGUGUUGGGAGAGAACUGAGAUCUAGAUUGUGUUGGGAGAUAACUGAGAUCUAGAAUGUGUUGGGAGAGAACUGAGAUCUAGAAUGUGUUGGGAGAUAACUGAGAUCUAUAAUGUGUUGGGAGAGAACUGAGAUCUAGAAUGUGUUGGGAGAUAACUGAGAUACUGAGAUCUAGAAUGUGUUUGGAGAGAACUGAGAUCUAUAAUGUGUUGGGAGAUAACUGAGAUCUAGAAUGUGUUGGGAGAUAACUGAGAUACUGAGAUCUAGAAUGUGUUUGGAGAGAACUGAGAUCUAUAAUGUGUUGGGAGAUAACUGAGAUCUAGAAUGUGUUGGGAGAUAACUGAGAUACUGAGAUCUAGAAUGUGUUGGGAGAGAACUGAGAUCUAGAAUGUGUUGGGAGAGAACUGAGAUACUGAGAUCUAGAAUGUGUUGGGAGAGAACUGAGAUCUAUAAUGUGUUGGGAGAUAACUGAGAUCUAUAAUGUUUUGGGAGAGAACUGAGAUCUAUAAUGUGUUGGGAGAUAACUGAGAUCUAGAAUGUGAUGGGAGAGAACUGAGAUCUAUAAUAUCUAUAAUGUGUUGGGAGAGAACUGAGAUACUGAGAUCUAGAAUGUGUUGGGAGAGAACUGAGAUCUAGAAUGUGUUGGGAGAGAACUGAGAUCUAUAAUGUGUUGGGAGAGAACUGAGAUCUAGAAUGUGUUGGGAAAGAACUGAGAUCUAGAAUGUGUUGGGAGAGAACUGAGAUCUAGAAUGUGUUGGGAGAGAACUGAGAUCUAGAAUGUGUUGGGAGAUAACUGAGAUCUAUAAUGUGUUGGGAGAGAACUGAGAUCUAGAAUGUGUUGGGAGAGAACUGAGAUCUAGAAUGUGUUGGGAGAGAACUGAGAUCUAGAAUGUGUUGGGAGAGAACUGAGAUACUGAGAUCUAGAAUGUGUUGGGAGAGAACUGAGAUACUGAGAUUUAGAAUGUGUUGGGAGAGAACUGAGAUCUAGAAUGUGUUGGGAGAGAACUGAGAUCUAGAAUGUGUUGGGAGCGAACUGAGAUACUGAGAUCUAGAAUGUGUUGGGAAAGAACUGAGAUCUAGAAUGUGUUGGGAGAGAACUGAGAUCUAGAAUGUGUUGGGAGAUAACUGAGAUCUAUAAUGUGUUGGGAGAUAACUGAGAUCUAUAAUGUGUUGGGAGAGAACUGAGAUCUAGAAUGUGUUGGGAGAGAACUGAGAUCUAGAAUGUGUUGGGAGAGAACUGAGAUACUGAGAUCUAGAAUGUGUUGGGAGAGAACUGAGAUCUAGAAUGUGUUAGGAGAGAACUGAGAUACUGAGAUCUAUAAUGUGUUGGGAGAGAACUGAGAUCUAGAAUGUGUUGGGAGAGAACUGAGAUCUAGAAUGUGUUGGGAGAGAACUGAGAUCUAGAAUGUGUUGGGAGAUAACUGAGAUCUAGAAUGUGUUGGGAGAUAACUGAGAUACUGAGAUCUAGAAUGUGUUGGGAGAUAACUGAGAUCUAUAAUGUGAUGGGAAAGAACUGAGAUCUAGAAUGUGUUGGGAGAGAACUGAGAUCUAUAAUGUGUUGGGAGAUAACUGAGAUCUAUAAUGUGUUGGGAGAUAACUGAGAUCUAGAAUGUGUUGGGAGAUAACCUAGAUCUAGAAUGUGUUGGGAGAGAACUGAGAUCUAGAAUGUGUUGGGAGAGAACUGAGAUCUAGAAUGUGUUGGGAGAUAACUGAGAUCUAUAAUGCUUAUCAAUAUUCCUUUCUACAUAUAUAUAGAUAUAUAUCUGUAUGUGUUGUGUCCACCUCAGUAUAUUGCAGAUGAUAUGAACUGUUCCUUAUAUCUAUAGUACGUUUUAUUGCACAUUUUACCGACGGCUUUAUUUACACACCUACCUCUCCAGCCCCCCUUCUCUCAAUCCAUAUUGUUGUUGAUUUUAAUAAUAUUCUUCUUAUUAUUAUUGUCAUAUUGUGGAAAUAUUCCAUUGAAGGAAUUCAUGUUAUUUUAAUGCAAAAAAAAAUCUGUAAUUUGAGUGCUGCAAGCAGAAAGGCUGAGGUCUAUCUUCAUACUCGAUAACUGUAUGCAAUCAUAUUGUAGCUCUUUGACAUCUUAUCCUUUUAUGACCAAAUACACACCGUGUUAAACCCACUAUGCCACCAAGAAUGACCUUCAUGUAUUCAUUGAUUUUUCUUCUGUUUUUUGCUGUUGCUCAAAAUCGUGGAGAAACGUAGCUGACAACAAAAAAAAAAAAACAUACUUGAAUCUAUUCAGUAAAUCAAAUUAAUAAAUACAUUUUACUGUAGUAGUCGGAAAAGCGACACGAUUUUUUUGUUAGAAUUUUAACUUUGUUAUCAGAAUGACUUGUUUCUCCACAGUGGUAAUAGUAAUGACCUGGUGGUAUUACCAUUACAUGUGUGUCUUAAUGAGCAGGUCGGAUUUAUCCUAGCCUAGAGGUCAGACGGCUAAGGAAGUUAUCAUUCUCUGAAUCUCAAACCAACCCCUAGGCCUAGGGGAUAGGGUUAGGGGAUAAGGAUAGGGAAUAAGGAUGGGGGAUAAGGAUAGGGGAUAGGGCUAGGGGAUAAGGAUAGGGAAUAAGGAUAGGGGAUAAGGAUAGGGGAUAGGGCUAGGGGAUAAGGAUAGGGGAUAAGGAUAGGGGAUAAGGAUAGGGGAUAGGGCUAGGGGAUAAGGAUAGGGAAUAAGGAUAGGGGAUAAGGAUAGGGGAUAGGGCUAGGGGAUAAGGAUAGGGAAUAAGGAUAGGGGAUAAGGCUAGGGGAUAAGGAUAGGGGAUAAGGAUAGGGGAUAGGGCUAGGGGAUAAGGAUAGGGGAUAGGGCUAGGGGAUAAGGAUAGGGGAUAAGGAUAGGGCUAGGGGAUAGGACUAGUGGACAUGGGAUAGGGGUUAGGGCAAGAGGAUAGGGCUAGGGAAUAGGACUAGGGGCUAGGGGAUAGGGGAUAGGACUAGGGGAUAGGGGUUAGGGCUAGGGCAUAGGGGUUAGGGCUAGGGGAUAGGACUAGGGGAUGGGGAUAGGGGUUAGGGGAUAUGGUUAGGGGAUAUGGUUAGGGAGUAGGGCUAGGGGUUAGGACUGGGGAUAGGGGUUAGGACUAGGGGAUAGGGGUUAGGACUAGGGGAUAGGGGUUAGGACUAGGGGAUAGGGGUUAGGGCUAGGGCAUAGGGGUUAGGGCUAGGGGAUAGGGGAUAGGGUUAGGGUUAGAGGAUAGGGGUUAGGGCUAGAGGAUAGGACUUGUGGACAGGGCUAGGGAAUAGGGCUUGGGGGUAGGGGUUAGGGCUAGAGGAUAGGGCUGGGGAAUAGGACUAGGGGCUAGGGGAUAGGGGAUAGGACUAGGGGAUAUGGGUUAAGGCUAGAGGAUAUGGGUUAGGGCUAGGGGAUAGGACUAGGGGAUAGGGCUUGGGGAUAGGGGUUAGGGGAUAUGGUUAGGGAGUAGGGCUAGGGGUUAGGACUGGGGAUAGGGGUUAGGACUAGGGGAUAGGGCUAGGGGACUAGGGGUUAGGGGUAGGGGACUAGAGGAUAGGGGUUAGGGCUAGGGGAUAGGGGUUAGGGCUAGAGGAUAGGGGUUAGGGCUAGGGGAUAGGGGUUAGGACUAGGGGAUAGGGGUUAGGACUAGGGGAUAGGGGUUAGGGCUAGAGGAUAAGGGUUAGGGCUAGGGGAUAGGGGUUAGGGCUAGGGGAUAGGGGUUAGGGCUAGGGGAUAGGGGUUAGGACUAGGGGAUAGGGGUUAGGACUAGGGGAUAGGGGUUAGGGCUAGAGGAUAGGGGUUAGGGCUAGGGGAUAGGGGUUAGGGCUAGAGGAUAGGGGUUAGGGCUAGGGGUUAGGGCUAGGGGAUAGGGGAUAGGGAUAUGGAUAGGGGGUAGGGAUAGGGGAUAGGAAUAGUAGACCUAGGACCCCCUGCCAUGAUCAGAGAUCAGAUACUAUGUCCCCAAUGGCACCUUAUUCCCUAUAUAGUGCACUACUUUUGACCAGUGGUGCACUAUAUAAAGGGAAUAGGGUUCUAUAGGGCCCUGGUCAUAAGUAGUGCACUAUAUAGGGAAUAGGGUUCCAUAGGGCUCUGGUCUAAAGUAGUGCACUAUAUAAAGGGAAUAGGGUUCUAUAGGGCCCUGGUCAUAAGUAGUGCACUAUAUAGGGAAUAGGGUUCCAUAGGGUUUUGGUCUAAAGUAGUGCACUAUAUAGGGAAUAGGGUUCUAUAGGGCCCUGGUCUAAAGUAGUGCACUAUAUAGGGAAUAGGGUUCCAUAGGGUUUUGGUCUAAAGUAGUGCACUAUAUAGGGAAUAGGGUGCCAUUUGGAAGGCAGAGAGACAAAAGGCCUGUUGUAUGUGAUCAUAGCUUUAAGUUAUUUUAUUCAUGUUGUUUAUUCCUCAAACAUUCCAACUGCCAACUCAUCUCGUAUGAUAAUAUCAUUGUUGUUACAAAUGCUUGUUAUUAUUGUGUUUUUGUUAUUGUUGUUUUGUUAUUGUUUACCCUUUUUGUUCUAUGAUUUUCCUUGUCUUUACGGUUUUAAUCUUGAACAUGUUGAACAAUGAAGUAAUUUUCAUUUUAUUUGAUCAGCUGUGAAUUUGUACUGACUGUGUCGAUCUGGUCGAUUUGGUUGUGUGUGUGUGUGUGUGUGUGUGUGUGUGUGUGUGUGUGUGUGUGUGUGUGUGUGUGUGUGUGGUUUGGCUGUGAUGUAAUGCUGUAGUUAGUAAUAACAUAGUCAUAGGUUAGCUAGUUAGUUAGUGUGACACCUUGUCAGUCCCUCUCUCUCUCUCCUUUCUCUUCUUCUAUAAAUCACACGCCUCCAUCACCUGUUCGUCUGCGUCAUGUGUAAUCUCAGGGGGCGGGCGAGGAGGACUGAUCUAUCCUAACACCAAAAAAAAUACAAUUAUAAAAGCACAAAUAAAGAUUAGUCACAAUAUCACAGAAAAAAAACCUUCCUAUGACUGAAGCACUAGACAACACAGUCAAUAGGGGGGGGGUUCCACUGAAAGAACCUCGCUGUUGGAACAGUAGAAUGAGAACACCUUGUUCUAAGAGGAUCACAACGUUCUAUAGCUACCAUGUCCCUGUACUGAAUACCACCUUGCUACAUAGUCUAAAGAACAUGUUGAAUCCGAGAAUGUAACUUAUAUAAAUACUAUGACGUCUGUAAAACGAAGACAACAACAACAGAAUAUAUGAUAACCAGCCAGUCAAAACAUAGGAAACACAAAUACACAGCAGUUAGACACUAGUUAGUCAUCACACCUGUACACCUGCUUCUGAAAUGGCACCCUAUUCCCUAUAAAGUACACUAGCUUUGGCCAGUAUGGCACCCUAUUCCCUAU
rnacentral:lncRNA from 1 species